CUCUGAUUGAACCCAAUUCUUCACCGAACCGGACCACUUCUUUUUUUUAUUUUUCUUUGAACCGUCUUUUCUUCUUAUGCUUUCUUUGGACCGAACUGGCCUACUUUAUUAUGUACUCUAUAUUGAAUUUGGCUCUUCACUAAACCAGGCCGUCUCUUCUUUCUAUUCUUUUUUUGAACUGCCUUUUUUUCUGUUAUUUAUUUGAAUUGUAUCGGCCUACUUUGUUAUAUAAUCUAUGUUGAAUCCCCUUUUUCACUGAAUCAGUGCAUUUCUUCUUCCUAUUUUUUCAGCCUUUUUCUUUCUUUGAACCGCUUUUUUUUCCUAUUUUUUUUUUGAAGCGAACCGACCUACUUUAUUAUAUACUGUGUUGAACCCGAUUCUUCACCGAACCAGGCCACCUCUUCUUCCUAUUCUUUCUUUGAACCGAAUCAGCCUACUUUAUUAUAAUAUUCCAUUUGAACCCGGUUCUUCUCUCCUUAUUUGAACUGAACAGGCUUUACUGUUGCUUUAUUUCUUUGAACCGAUCUAGCCUACUUGAACCCGGUUCUUCACUUUAGCCUAAAUUUUAAAUCGUUCUUUGACUGGGAUUUUUUUCAUCUUCUUCAGCUAUGAGAGACAAAGAGUCGUAUAACUGUUGGACAAAAAGGUUCCAAAAUUGUGAGCAGAAACCCGAAGGUCAGAGAGCAACCCUUGGAAUUCACCUUAUAAUGUCGAGGCAUGUUUUCUUUGUGUUAAUGGGCAUACUGGUUGAGUAAUUGUGGUUGGUCAGUAGCCAAGUUAAUUGUAUCCUAGAGCCUAUAAAUAGGUUGGUUGGCUAAGGCCAAAGAAGAGUAAAGUGAAUACAUAUAAUUUCUAUUUCUUAGUAGUGCAGUAUGAUAUGUCUUCUUCCUUCAUCGAAGUUUCCUGUAUGGAAUUUCAAGUCGCCGAAACGAAGGAGAAGGCUGUUCGAUUAUUGAAACGUCGGAAAAAGAUAGAGAGGCGAAAAGUGAGUGAAAAGGAGAAGAUGGAAAGGCGGUAGGUGAGUGAGAAAAAGAGAAAUAUUGGUAGUAUAUAAAAAUAUUUUGGAGUAGAAAAAAAAGAAGAAGUGAGAGUGGUGCAUCGUUGUUUCUUGUUCCCUACUCAAUAUUUUCCUCUAUUGUAUUAAAAAUUCUUCCACGAUUAUUCAUUCACUUCCAUCUGUAUUUCUGUAUAAUAACAUUUACAUUCUUUUUUAUUUCAACAUCUUUUGUGACGAUCUUUUUUCAACGGUAAAAUAUGCCUACUCUAUUUUAUUACGUCUUAUACCAUGUACAUUUUAAAAUUUUGAUUUUCAAUAAUAUCACCUCAGAAAUAUUUUAAAAUUUUGCUUCUAUUUUCUAUCUGCCGCAUCGCGUGGGUCUAUACACUAGUAAAUAUGAUUUAAUAUUGAUAUACCAAUAUUAGAUCUUAACAUUCUCUCAUAUAAUAAACUUAAUUGAAAUAAUUACUAAAAAUAUUAAU
rnacentral:lncRNA from 1 species